ensembl:ncRNA W09G3.12 ncRNA
UCUAGCGUUAAUUUUGAAAUUUUCGGGUUACUGUAGCCCCAAAAGUACGCAA